rnacentral:rRNA from 1 species
UACGUAGGGGGCUAGCGUUGUCCGGAUUUACUGGGCGUAAAGGGCGCGUAGGCGGCCACCGCAAGUCGACUGUGAAAUCUCCGGGCUUAACCCGGAAAGGUCAGCCGAUACUGCGGGGCUAGAGUGCAGAAGGGGCAACUGGAAUUCUCGGUGUAGCGGUGAAAUGCGUAGAUAUCUGGAGGAAUACCGGUGGCGAAGGCGGCAUCCUGGACCGAGAUUGACACUGAACGACGAAAGCUAGGGGAGCAAACGGG